ACGCGUAGAUGCACACGUCCGUUGGGAACCCCAAGUGGAAGGUAUGAUGCGUAUAGAAGCAAGUUUCCCUCAGUAUGAAACCAAGGUUUAAUCGAACCAGUAGGAGCCAAGAAGCACGUUGAAGGUUGAUGGUGGCGAAAUGUGAUGCGGCGCAACAACAGGGAUUCCGGCGCCAACGUGGAAUCUGCACAACAAAACCAAAGUACUUUGCCCCAACGAAACAGUGAGGUUGUCAAUCUCACCGGCUUGCUGUAACAAAGGAUUAAGCGUAUCGAGUGGAAGAUGAUUGUUUGCAAGAAAACAGUAAAACACAAUUGCAGUAGAUUGUAUGCUAUGUAAAGAAUAGGACCGGGGUCCACAGUUCA